AAGCUUAACACAUGCAAGUCGAGCGGGCUGUAGCAAUACGUCAGCGGCAGACGGGUGAGUAACGCGUGGGAACGUACCUUUUGGUUCGGAACAACACAUGGGAAACUUGUGCUAAUACCGGAUAAGCCCUUACGGGGAAAGAUUUAUCGCCGAAAGAUCGGCCCGCGUCUGAUUAGCUAGUUGGUGAGGUAACGGCUCACCAAGGCGACGAUCAGUAGCUGGUCUGAGAGGAUGAUCAGCCACAUUGGGACUGAGACACGGCCCAAACUCCUACGGGAGGCAGCAGUGGGGAAUAUUGGACAAUGGGCGCAAGCCUGAUCCAGCCAUGCCGCGUGAGUGAUGAAGGCCCUAGGGUUGUAAAGCUACUUUUGUAGCAGGGAAGAUAAUGACGGUACCGCAAGAAUAAGCCCCGGCUAACUUCGUGCCAGCAGCCGCGGUAAUACGAAGGGGGCUAGCGUUGCUCGGAAUCACUGGGCGUAAAGGGUGCGUAGGCGGGUCUAUUAAGUCAGGGGGUGACAAUUCCCUUUGGGAAAGCCUACCAAACUU
rnacentral:rRNA from 1 species